UUACUCAUGCUUCGUUCCGUAGUUUUCAUAUGUUAUUUUCACAUUUCACACAUGAUUUUAACGUUUUCACACGGUUUUUUAAUAAACGAUGCAACUGAUGUUUAACAACUGAGAGAUAGGUACAUAGUUUUAAUAAAGAAUUGU